AAUGGCUUUUUUUUUAUAUAAUGUAUCUUGUAGCUAUAAUUAGUUGCGAGGUGUUCUGUUUUUUUCCGAGUUUAUUGCUCACUGAAGGUUAGAUGUGAAAUGUUUUCGUAAUAAAGUCUUGUGUUUACUGAAGAUAGGUGAAAUUUGAUGUUUUUAUUACGAGUCGUGUUUACUGAAGAUUAGGUGUGAGCGAUCUUCAGUCCUUCUCUUUUUAGUAGAUUUGGUGUGAAUCAAAUGUUGUCUUUUAGUCAUUCUUGUGUUUACUGGAGCUAAGGGGUGAGGGAUUUUUUCUCUUGUUUUCAGUAGAUUUAGUGUGAAGAAAAUGUUUUGUUUUUAAGUCAUUCUUGUGUUUACUGAAGUUAAGGUGUGGCAUAUAUUAUCUUUUUAUAACGAGUCUUUUGUUUCAGUGAACGGGCGAAUAAAAGAGACAAGAACGCUUCCCCUUCCCGACUGAGACUUCACCGACCCGAGGCGUGAAGCAGCGAGCCAGCGAACACCGAACCACCGUUGCCAGAUCAUCGUACUCAGAGCAUUGUGUUGACCAGUUUCUGACGCGUAACUAUUGCCAAGAAACAUCAGCAAUUAACUAUUUUAACGAUAACUACAAAUAGCUCUCGUUAUUGCUGCCCAGGAGACAGUUUUGGGGGUCUGAAAUGGGUAAAUGAGAGGUUCAGUACGAUAAUUUGGCAACGUUGCACCGAACCUGCCUGACAACGUGCCAGAUUGUCCUACUCAGCCUCUUGUGUUUGCCGAUUUCCGACCCAAAAACUGUCUUCUCCACCCCAAUAACUGGCUUCAUAUAUAGUUAUCGUUAAAAGUGUUAAUUAUUGGUGUUUCUUGGCAAUAGUUCUGGGUCAGACGCCGGUAAAUAUGAUGCUUAUCUGGCAAUGGUGGCACGGGACUGACUGCCUCUCACCUCGCGCAGGACACUCCCCGCAGCCUUCCCGAGUCCCUCUCUUCACCUGGACGCGGCGAACUUCCUGCAGGUACAGAAGGUAGGGGGCGCCUCACCUGCAGGUAUGAAGGUGUGCCGUUGAGGGCCAUGUCCCCCUGCUCAGUCAGAGUCGCUGUUACGCCGGCCAAGUACUGCCAGCUCUGAGGAGAAAAGAGAGACAGCGGUUACACAGGGGUCGAGGAGCCAGGCCACACACACUCCAAGACCCGCCCUUUGAGGACUCUACUGGACUAGUAUGAAGGGUCAUGCUAUAAGACUUGUCAUGCUUGUUCAUGCUACCAUUCACACUAAGGCCAUGGCUGCACUGGGAGCAAGAAUGUACCAUGAGCGAGAGCAGCCAAACAAGUUUUCAGUCCACAUUGGGAGGGAUUUGUCAUCCCUCGCAGCCGCCACCUUGGUGAACAAGUCACCAUCAAUACAGGUGAGGGUACCAUGAACUGUUUUCAUAAAUAGCUCUGUGCUUUACUUUAUAAGGCAUUUUAUGAAAAAUAGUGUUCAAGAGAGUUUUCUUUGAAAGAUUAAAUAGUUUAUUUUAGUAUUCAUUCCAGAGGCACUGUGAAUGGCAGUCAUACGUAAAAUGAGUUAUAAACAUUUACAGGGCAGUUCUGUGACUUCAAUGCUUCAUAAUUUCUCUUUAUUUUAACCAAACUUUCAUAAAUGUAUGAAAUUCUGCAAUCAUUGCUACAUCUGACGGUAUCAACCAAAAUGGCCCAUCUAGUGUAUGAUGUAAGAUAUGUCACUCCUACUGACCCAGCAAACUCAUGCAAAAGCCUGCUGACUCCCUCUGUUGCCAUCGAGGCUGCCUUCAAUGGUUGGAGGGUUCAAAAGGUUCUCACCUCCACUUGCUUUCGUUCACUUUCUUACUCCCAGUGUGACCCAACCCUUAGGGUGCAUUCACACGUAAGGCAGUAUUCACACUCAGGGCAGCACAGGGUGCAUUCACACUUAAGGCAGCAUUAACCCGUAAGAGGUCAGCCAAAAUCAAAUUUUCUUAUUUUGUUCCAUGUAAUUUGAAAUGGGGGGAGUGGGGCUUACCUCUGUGUCCAAAUGGCAGGAAACUGUACUGAUAUAUGCCAGGCACUUCCAGAAACAUAAAUAGUGUGGCUAGAGGAAUUUCAAAUCCACAGGAAGCGAUAAAGUGACCACAGACAGUAAACACAGGCUUCACGUAUUGUAUAUAUACGUGGUUGACCUCUUACAAGUUAACACUACAGCAGCAUUCACACUUAAAGCAACAUUCAUGCUUAAGGCAGCAUUCACACAGGUCAUGUUGGCCCAAUUCAGAUCAUUCAUAAAGUAUUUUGUAUCUUGCAAUUAUUCCACACUUAUUCCAUUCAGUGCUCUAAUGAAGGAAAAUUACUCUGGAAAUCUCUGUGCAGGCAAGACAAUGAACUGCACAUCAUCAAAAUAAAGACUGACGAACAUUCUGUACAUUGAUGGUAGUUUGUUUUUAUGACUUGGAUUGAUUUGCCAGAGUAGCUUCCUCCUGAUGUGAGUACUAAUUGGAAGUGUGUGCAUAUUGGCGACGACCGCCUAGUUCUGUCGAAGGAAGGUAGUGGGACAGGGACAGGGUGGUGGAAGGAAUGGGGUGAGUUUUUAAAGACUUGCUCAACUUUGUCUGUUUUAUGUGUAUGUCUGUGCAUGUUUCAUGCUGUAUGUGCAUGCAAAAUGUGUUAAUAUAUGUACAGUAAGUUUUUUUUCCUGCACUCUAGAUUUUUAACUUUUUACUAAUUUUCCUGAAAGUUUCCAAGAAUCCAAACUUAUUUUGGGUGGGAUUUCAAUUCUGUUUACAUGAAUUCAGGCCACUGGAUAUUCCGACUAGUGGAACUUGGAUUAAUGGACUUUGGCUGUAUGGAGAUCACAGUUACUAUUCACUCCUCCCUUUAAUACUGAGGAGGGUUUGUGUACAUUCCCUCGUUGUGGUAAAGCUACACUCUGUAACUGUCAAUAGUUUGAGUUUUAAUUCAUGUCAGUUUUACAGAGUCCUGCCUCAGUGUCUGCCUCCAUGAUGCAGUGGUUCGCAUCCCAACUAUGAACGCCCGGGCCUGAGUUCAAAUCCCAGGCCAGGCAGUCAGUGUGUAGCGCACCCAACUGUUCAUCCUUCCUUUCGGACUGGUCAAUAAAUGAGAACAUGGGGAAACUUGGGGAAGGUAAGCUGUGGUAACUCAGACAUCACACUGGCCCUGUGUGCCGGGGUGACGGGUUCUUGCCACCACCGGGCCAGUGAGGCAGGUGAGCACCAAGGCCACACACAGCUGUAGUGCAAGCCCACAACUUUACCUUUACCUUUACAAAGUCAUUGGUUUGCCUCACCUGUCUCAGUGGUUUAUAUAAUAUUAACACUGAGUUUUAUAUACAUACAAAGUUUAAUGGGAUUUUUUAUUGUUUAUAUAUAAAUUAUUAUAUUUCUCUUUGGAGGAGAUGACACCUGGACAAAGGCACUGGUUUCAUACACACUCACAUAAUUAAGCCAAAGCUAUAGUAAAGGUACAGUAAACUGAUCCGCAUGUGAAUGGCCAAGAAAAUAUUCACUAUGUUUGGGGGUUGGAAAUAUCUGUGUGAAUGAAUGUGUGUGUGGAUGGACGUGUGUUUAUGUGCGUAGGUGUGGAGGAAAUGAUACGGGAAAAUACUUCAACUUUAUGUACAGCCAGGCAGUCACACACACACAUGGAAAAUUAAACAUACAUGAUAAGAAAGCAGUCAGCACACACACACACACACACAGGAAAACAAAAGUUAGUUCAUGCACACACACAAAAAAAGGACAGCAAACAGCAUAUAACAACUUAUCUAAAAUAGGAGUAUCAAUGUUUUUAUCAUUUUUGUGUUUCUUCUUGAGUAUAUGCAGGAGUUUUAAGCCUAAGGUGCCGCUAAAUCUAGCCCUAAUGAGUUGUUGAGACGCUCACAGGAGGGUGUCACAUAAGUAUAGUGUAGUUAUCAUCUGGUCCCAACACUUCCUAACUAUCGUUCUCAGUAUUGCCACAUCCCGAGUAUUCUUGUGACAAUUUGAAUAUAAUUUCUAACCAACAGAUUUUUUUUUUAUUAUUAUUAUUCUGAUAAAAUGAAAGUUAACAUUUGAAUUUUUUUUUAUCAUAUGGUGCCAAUACAAUAUAGCUAUUGUUCUCAGCAUUAACACGUCCUGAUCCUUGUGACAAUUGGGAUUUAAUUUCUAACAAGUGCUAAUAGUUUUCCUUUCAACUCUUGCGACAAAAUAAAAAUUAACCGUUGAAUGAUUUUUUCUGUAUAGUUUCUUGGAAGUGUAAGUCGGUUUCUGAUAAUGACAGAUGGUUCCUGUUAGACAUUCUGCAUUAUCUUUUAACAGAUGUGCUCAACCUCUAUUAAUGACUUAACUGCUGCUACCAUUUUCAUCUGACAGUGCUUGUACUAACAUUUCUAUCUGCCAGACUGCUAGUCUAUAACUGUGUUCAUCUGGUGAGUUCCUGUAAUACACACCAAUGUUUCUGUCAUGCAGGCUCAUAAGCUAUUAUUAUUUUUUUGUUCUACUUCUAUUUGCAUCUAACAGGUUCUUGCUCUAUGUAUUUGUAUUUCCACCUUGCAGGCUCGUGUACUAUUUCUACUCUCAUGCAGCAGGUACUUGUGUCCGGCCUGGCCUAGAGCAGCAACACCGCCAACCCUGGAGUGGCUGCAGGGAGGCUGACGUGCACAAGAUGACGUCAACAUCAGGGAAAAGUUAACCGUUCAAAGCCAAGGCCGUAGCUCUGCCCACAGCAGCCGGAGGAAGAGCAGGUAAGCUAAAUAUAAGUUUAAAAAAGGGAAGGUGACAUGGGUAUGACCACCUGGAGCCACACACAUUCCAUUGGGUCUAUAUUGAUGCAAUGACUGCAGUCACCAACGCCAUUUACUGCCUUAUGUUACCCGUCCAGUGUGAAUUAGCCUAGUAAUACAGCCCUCCACAACCUGUGCGGUGCAGGAGGUUAACAUUACUUCACCCAGGGACAUUGUAACAUUUCUAAUUUAAUGGCCGAGGGAAGGGCAGGAAAGCAAAGUGUGGAGGAACAGGUGACUAAUCUUGAUAUUGCUUGAUUAAAUGUAAUCCGUGCCACUACUCCAGAACAUGCCUCUCCUCUCUGUGAACUCUCAUAACUUAAAUGUGUAGUAAUAUAUUCUCUCUGUAAAAGCUCACAUAGGUAAACAUGCACACACAAACAUACACACACACAUAUACAGUAACCAUUAAGAUGCUAAACAUUUUAUUUUCCUUACCAUUGUAUAUUAAAAUCCGAGAUGACCUUUCAUGGUAAUGUUUCAAUUACUAACAGCUACACAACAUCCAGGCAGGAGUCAGGCAGGUUUUAAGGCGUUGCCGGGUACAAAGCAGUUAGUACGUACAUCAUCCAUCAACAACACUAACAACAACAGUUUGCAUUCAUCUGUUUUCUUAUGCAAGAUUACUGUAUGCACUCACAAGAAAGUCAGCAAUCCUCCCUAAAGCAAUUUGUUUAGUUAAGGAAAUUAAACAAUCUUAGAACAGUUGUUGUAGUAGUAGUAGUAACCUUCCAAACAAAGAAUUAUCACUCUAGAAGUUCAUCCCUUAAAGAAAUAAUAUGUCUGAGAAUUUUUUUUACCCUCUGGAAAAGUAUAAAGAAGUAGUUCUAUAAAAAUGGCAGCAUCCAUUGAAAAUUACAUCCCCCUGUACUCAGUCUUAAUAAUCAUUCAAUAAAUUAGACUUUGCCUUGUGUGCAUACACUGUGAUUAUUAAAUAAAUUAGACUUUGCCUUGUGUGCAUACACUGUGAUUAU